AUUGAACGCUAGCGGGAGGCUUUACACAUGCAAGUCGAACGAGUGGCGGACGGGUGAGUAAUAUAUCUGAACCUGCCCAGUAGCGGGGGAUAACUACUCGAAAGAGUGGCUAAUACCGCCUACUAUUGGAUCGGCCGAUAUCGGAUUAGCUAGUGGGUGGGGUAAAGGCUCACCGAGGCAACGAUCCGUAGCUGGUUUGAGAGGAUGACCAGCCACACUGGGACUGAGACACGGCCCAGACUCCUACGGGAGGCAGCAGUGGGGAAUAUUGGACAAUGGGGGCAAGCCUGAUCCAGCCAUCCCGCGUGUAUGAGAAGGCCUUCGGGUUGUAAAGUACUUUUGGCAGAGAAGCGGUAUCUGCAGAAGAAGCACCGGCUAACUCCGUGCCAGCAGCCGCGGUAAUUC
rnacentral:rRNA from 1 species